GUCUAUGGCCAUGCUACCCUGAACAAGCCCGAUCCCGUCUGAUCUCAGAAGCUAAGCAGGCUUGGGCCUGGUUAGUACUUGGAUGGGAGACCACCUAGGAAGACCAGGUGCUGUAGGCA
rnacentral:rRNA from 1 species